AAGGCGCUAGCCUCCUUGAUGAUGCUUAUCUCGUGGAAGAUAUGGACAGAGUAUAACGCUAGCGUCUUUCGAAACACGGCCAUCCCUUCCGUGGUCCUAAUCUGUAAGAUCAAAGAUGAGAUGUCUUUUUGGGCACUGGCAGGUGCGAAGCACAUGAAUGUUGUAAUGCCGCGAGAGUAA
rnacentral:rRNA from 1 species